AUAGAAUAUAAAGGCAGAUGAAUAAAGAAAAAAAGAAAAACAGUUUCUGUUCUUAUCAGUUUAAUAUCUGAUAUAUCCCUUAUCUAGGACCGUGUAUUAAAUUGAUUUUUUCAGCAGGGAGAUGGAAUGGGGGAUUUCCAUUUCCACUCUGUGCAUCAACCAGGUAUCAUAGUACCUUUGGGAACGGGCCUGCUAU